AUGAACGCUGGCGGCGUGCUUAACACAUGCAAGUCGAACGAUGAAGCCCAGCUUGCUGGGUGGAUUAGUGGCGAACGGGUGAGUAACACGUGAGUAACCUGCCCUUGACUCUAGGAUAAGCCCGGGAAACUGGGUCUAAUACUGGAUAGGAACGUCUACCGCAUGGUGGGUGUUGGAAAGAAUUUCGGUCAUGGAUGGACUCGCGGCCUAUCAGCUUGCUGGUGAGGUAAUGGCUCACCAAGGCGACGACGGGUAGCCGGCCUGAGAGGGUGACCGGCCACACUGGGACUGAGACACGGCCCAGACUCCUACGGGAGGCAGCAGUGGGGAAUAUUGCACAAUGGGCGAAAGCCUGAUGCAGCGACGCCGCGUGAGGGAUGACGGCCUUCGGGUUGUAAACCUCUUUCAGUAGGGAAGAAGCGAAAGUGACGGUACCUGCAGAAGAAGCACCGGCUAACUACGUG
rnacentral:rRNA from 1 species